GCCCCAGUAACGGCGAGUGAAGCGGCAACAGCUCAAAUUUGAAAUCUGGAGUCGUUGUGGCUUCCGAGUUGUAAUUUGCAGAGGGAGCCUCGGAGGGCUGGUCGGUCCAAGUGCCUUGGAACAGGAUACCGCAGAGGGUGAGAGUCCCGUAUCCGGCCGACGCAGCGCUCCGUGUGAGGCCUCUUCGACGAGUCGAGUUGUUUGGGAAUGCAGCUCUAAGUGGGUGGUAAAUUCCAUCUAAAGCUAAAUACUGGCCAGAGACCGAUAGCGAACAAGUAGAGUGAUCGAAAGAUGAAAAGCACUUUGAAAAGAGAGUUAAACAGUACGUGAAAUUGUUGAAAGGGAAGCGCAUGGGGGCAGACUUGGACGCGGGGUUCAGGGUCACAGUUUUGAGGCCUGUACUUCCCCGCGGACAGGCCAGCAUCGGUUCUGGGGGCCGGACAAAGGCGAGGGGAACGUGGCUCUCUUCGGGGAGUGUUAUAGCCCUUUGCGCAAUGCGGCCACCUGGGACCGAGGACCGCGCUUCGGCAAGGAUGCUGGCGUAAUGGCCUCAUGCGGCCCGUCUUGAAACACGGACCAAGGAGUCUAACAUCUAUGCGAGUGUUUGGGUGGCAAGCCCGGACGCGCAAUGAAAGUGAACGGAGGUGGGAGCUCUUUUCUUGUGG
rnacentral:rRNA from 1 species